rnacentral:rRNA from 1 species
GACGAACGCUGGCGGCGUGCCUAAUACAUGCAAGUAGAACGCAGUUUCGAACGGGUGAGUAACGCGUAGGUAAAUGCCUCAUAGCGUGGGAUAACUGUUGGGAACGCUAGCUAAUACCGCAUACUUUGAGAUGGACCUGCGUUGUAUUAGCUAGUGGGUGAGGUAAAGGUUCACCAAGGCGACGAUAAAUAGCCGACCUGAGAGGGUGAUCGGCCACACGGGGACUGAGACACGGACAUGACGCCCACGGGAGGCAGCAGUAGGGAAUCUGCGGCAAUGGACGGAAGUCUGACCGAGAAAGGCCGCGUGGGUGAAGAAGGUUUUCGGACCGUAAAGCUCUGUUGUUAGAGAAGCGGUAUCUAACCAGGAAGCCCCGGCUAACUACGUGCCAGCAGCCGCGGUAAUUC